UAGGGAAUCUUCCGCAAUGGGCGAAAGCCUGACGGAGCAACGCCGCGUGAGUGAUGAAGGUCCUCGGAUCGUAAAACUCUUUUAUUAGGGAAGAACAAAAGUGUAAGUAACUAUGCACGUCUUGACGGUACCUAAUCAGAAAGCCACGGCUAACUACGUGCCAGCAGCCGCGGUAAUACGUAGGUGGCAAGCGUUAUCCGGAAUUAUUGGGCGUAAAGCGCGCGUAGGCGGUUUUUUAAGUCUGAUGUGAAAGCCCACGGCUCAACCGUGGAAGGGCAUUGGAAACUGGAAAACUUGAGUGGAGAAGAGGAAAGUGGAAUUCCAUGUGUAGCGGUGAAAUGCGAAGAGAUAUGGAGGAACACCAGUGGCGAAGGCGGCUUGCUGGUCUGUAACUGACGCUGAUGUGCGAAAGCGUGGGGAUCAAACAGG
rnacentral:rRNA from 1 species